rnacentral:rRNA from 1 species
GACGAACCGUCCUAACGUUGUUCGGAAUCACUGGGCUUAAAGGGCGCGUAGGCGGGCCAGCAAGUCUAGGGUGAAAUCCUCCGGCUUAACCGGAGAACAGCCUUGGAUACUGCUGGUCUCGAGGGAGGUAGGGGUCUGCGGAACUUCUGGUGGAGCGGUGAAAUGCGUUGAUAUCAGAAGGAACGCCGGUGGCGAAAGCGGCGGACUGGACCUUCACUGACGCUGAGGCGCGAAAGCUAGGGGAGCAAACGGG